AGAGUUUGAUCCUGGCUCAGAACGAACGCUGGCGGCGUGGAUAAGACAUGCAAGUCGAGCGGAGUACUAUUUGUAGCAAUACCGGUAGUGCUCAGCGGCGCAGGGGUGCGUAACACGUGGGCAACCUGCCCGGAAGUGGGGGAUAGCUCGCCGAAAGGCGAAUUAAUACCGCAUGUGACGAAGGAAGACAUCUUCUUGUAGUCAAAGCUGGGGCAACCUAGCGCUUCUGGAUGGGCCCGCGGCCUAUCAGCUAGUUGGAGAGGUAACGGCUCCCCAAGGCUAUGACGGGUAGCUGGUCUGAGAGGACGACCAGCCACACUGGAACUGAGACACGGUCCAGACACCUACGGGUGGCAGCAGUCGAGAAUUUUUCUCAAUGGGGGCAACCCUGAAGGAGCGACGCCGCGUGGAGGAUGAAGGUCUUCGGAUCGUAAACUCCUGUCAUUGGUGAACAAGGCCCACACAGUAACUGGUGUUGGGAUUGAUAGUAGCCGAAGAGGAAGAGACGGCUAACUCUGUGCCAGCAGCCGCGGUAAUACAGAGGUCUCAAGCGUUGUUCGGAUUCAUUGGGCGUAAAGGGUGCGUAGGUGGCGAGGUAAGUCUGGUGUGAAAUCCCGGGGGCUCAACCCCGGAACUGCACUGGAUACUGCCCUGCUGGAGUACUGGAGAGGAGAUUGGAAUUUACGGUGUAGCAGUGAAAUGCGUAGAUAUCGUAAGGAAGACCAGUGGCGAAGGCGAAUCUCUGGACAGUUACUGACACUGAGGCACGAAGGCCAGGGGAGCAAACGGGAUUAGAUACC
rnacentral:rRNA from 1 species